rnacentral:tRNA from 1 species
UCCGACGUAGCUCAGCGGUAGAGCAGGUGGCUGUUAACCACUUGGUCACAGGUUCGAAUCCUGUCGUCGGAGCCA